CUUCUUGGUUGACAUUUCACUCUUGUUGUUGAAUGACUGUUUGGUUAGCUUCCCUCUUUGGCAUGCAUCACAUAAUCUAUCAAUCUUGAAUCGAAUCUUGGGCAGACCAUUCACGAGAUUCUUAGAGACAAGCUUGUUCAGUUGACUCAAACUUAUGUGUGCUAAUCUUUUGUGCCAUAGCCACACAUCUUCUUCCUUAGUCAUCGGGCAUACAACAAAUUCGAAUGCAUUAUCUGUGAAGUCGAUCAAGUAGAUGUUGUUCACCCCUUUUCCCACAAGUAGUAACUCAUUUGUUGCUCCAUUGUUGAUCAGACAGUAUUUAGGCUCAAAAGUGAUCUUCAAUCCUUUGUCGCAUAUCUGACUGAUG
rnacentral:lncRNA from 1 species